UCUGCCUACGGGGCGCAGCAGUGGGGAAUAUUGCACAAUGGGGGGAACCCUGAUGCAGCAAUGCCGCGUGAAGGAUGAAGGUUUUCGGAUUGUAAACUUCUUUUGUACGGGACGAAGAAAAUGACGGUACCUGAAGAAGAAGCCCCGGCUAACUACGUGCCAGCAGCCGCGGUAAUACGUAGGGGGCAAGCGUUAUCCGGAUUUACUGGGUGUAAAGGGGGCGCAGACGGCGAUGCAAGCCAGGAGUGAAAGCCCGGGGCCCAACCCCGGGACUGCUCUUGGAACUGCGUGGCUGGAGUGCAGGG
rnacentral:rRNA from 1 species